GGGAGAGCGGCUUUAAAAAUAAUUUGUUGUAAAGAAAAGUGUGGGGGAAAAAACCCUCGCCCUGUGAGCAGAUAGACUAACCUCGCUCCCCUUCUUCUUUCCAUCGACUCCGGCUCCGCUCGCAGCAAUCAUAUCUGGARCGAAAGGUCUGGCUUGCAGCUUCGUCUGGCCUGGGCAGGGCCAGGAAAUAAUUCCCAAGGCCCCUGCGAAGUUUGCGCUGCCGGCACGAAGCACCACUCCUGAGCYGGGCUGCGUGCAGCGGUGUCAAGCCAGGGCACGCAGAGCCCCUGCUUURGGUGAGGGCUGCUCUAGCAAAGCGCUGUUCCAAGAGAAAAAGGUUAUUUUUCAGCUUCUCCGCCUUCAAAGCGACCGGAUGAAUCCUCUGUCCCCCCCCCAAGGAGCCCGUUAUAUAAUCAAAAGGAAGUAAAUUUUUCAGAUUGGAGAGCAGCCGGGCCGGUAGAGGAGCUUGGGGGCGCGUCGGCGGGCCUGGGGAGGGCCGGAGGCGUGGGGCAGUGGUGCAGC
rnacentral:lncRNA from 1 species